GAUGAAGAACGUAGCGAAAUGCGAUAAGUAAUGUGAAUUGCAGAAUUCAGUGAAUCAUCGAAUCUUUGAACGCACAUUGCGCCCAUUAGUAUUCUAGUGGGCAUGCCUGUUCGAGCGUCAUUUCAACCCCUAAGCACAGCUUAUUGUUGGGAACCUACGGCUUCGUAGUUCCUCAAAGACAUUGGCGGAGUGGCAGUGGUCCUCUGAGCGUAGUAAUCUUUUAUCUCGCUUCUGUUAGGUGCUGCCCCCCCGGCCGUAAAACCCCCAAUUUUUUCUGGUUGACCUCGGAUCAGGUAGGAAUACCCGCUGAACUUAAGUAUAUCAAUAAGCGGAGGA
rnacentral:misc_RNA from 1 species